rnacentral:rRNA from 1 species
UACGGGGGGGGCAAGCGUUGUUCGGAAUUACUGGGCGUAAAGCGCGCGUAGGCGGCUCUUCAAGUCGAGUGUGAAAGCUCCAGGCUUAACCUGGGAAUUGCGCUCGAUACUGUUGAGCUAGAGUGUGGAAGGGGCUACUGGAAUUCCGUGUGUAGCGGUGAAAUGCGUAGAUAUACGGAGGAACACCAGCGGCGAAGACGGGUUGCUGGGCUGACACGGACGCUGAGGCGCGAAAGCCAGGGAGCAAACGGG